GUCAGAAGAGGAAGGUUGUAUGUGGUCAGCAAUGUAUUCGAAAGCGAGAGAAUGCUAAGGUUGGCAAUUUGCUGAAGAGGGAAGAUGUUCAAGUCUAGUGUUUCUAGAUAAUUGAAAUGUACCAUACUAACCACUUCCGUGUCCCAAAGUCCAGUCCUCCGGUAACACGAAAUCCCCAAGGCUGGUCAUCUGUCUUGGAGAGUUUAAUUUCUUCAGCCAUAUCACCAAUAUUUGUGAGCAUCUUGAAUCACUUUUUACCCUAAAGAAUCCACACAUUACUUCGUUAAUUACACAGCAUUCCUAUUUCAACAUUCUAUGGAUAGUAUGUAUGAAAAAUACAUAUUCAGCAUACUUAUUUGAGUUGCUUUUCACCUCUUCUCCAAACAGAAGGUCCUUCAAAAUAAAGAGAGGACACAAAAACAAGCUGAAGCAAUGAAGUAGAAAUAAAUAUAGAGCUUUAGACAGCUGACAAUCCAGGGGCUGCACUUGGUCUUGACAAAGUUCAUACUCUAUAAUAGUGACACCUGACAUUGAGUGGAAACCUUUGGGCACAGUGCCAUAUAUGUCUGGAUGUUGAUGUAUGUGCACAUGGUAUUUGUUAGUGACAAGAAUUUAUUGGCACCUCUUCGAAUAUGCAGAGGUAGAGAAUUGAAUGCUAGUCAUAAAACACAUUUAAUUGAUACUCUGACAUGUAACUGCCAGUAACUCCAUGAUGCAAAGUCCUUGUUAAGCUUCUAACCUCUCAGCUAGUCAUGAAAUUGAUUGCCUUUUAUAGAAUCCAAAGGUUUAUUUCUAUGUUCAUAAAUGUCUGUCACUAGAACCUGUAUUAAGCCAGAUAAAUCUAGUUCAUACCCUCAUAUCUUAUUACUUAAGGUGCAUUAUAAUGUUUUCCUUUCAAAAGUGGUCUCAUUCUUUCAGGAUUUGAGACAUGAAUGUGUUAUGUAUUUCUCUUCCCUCCUAAGUAUGCUACAUGCCUCACCCAUCUCAUCUUCCUCUGAUGAACCUGAUAUUUUGUGACAAAUACAAAUUAUGAAUGUUAAAAUUA